ensembl:lncRNA
UGUCAAAGUCAGCGAGUGCGUGGGAGGAAACGUUCAACAUGAGCUGCCCUGGCAGCCUGCAGUGAAGGGAAAAGAAAGUGAGAAAGAAAAAAGAGAAAAAAUAGUGGGGUCUAUACCACACUGUUUGCUGUGUGCGCCCUAUUUGAAGGUAUACCGUAAGCUGAAUCUAUAAAGGAUUUGAAGAUAAGGUUGUAUUCGAGUCACUGUGCAUCAGCACAAACCUUUCAACAAGCUUCUGUCUACAAGCUCUCUGCGUGGAAUAAUGCUGAGUCUGCUUUCAACACCUACACCGUGACAAUAAGGAUCCGAGAGCGUCACCGUCUGCAAGCGCUGACCCAACUUCCUCUGUGUGCACUCAACAGAAAUGAUAAGGCUUCCACUUCCCCCUCCACCCUGACUCGGGCAAACAGCUGCCCUGCAGCCCCAGACUGGGCCCUCCGUGUCAGCAUCGGGCCUGACUGCACGUUGCUCUGUGUGGACUUGAUGGAGCACGCAGAUAAGGCGCACUGUUGUGGCUGGGUUUCCUUUAAAGCAGUAUGCGAUCAUUGGUAGAUAGGUUCUAGCAAGUAACCCCUAUGUUUGGAUCCCUUUGUGUCUGCUUGUGUGUGCAUGUAUGGACUGAGUAUCAUGGAAAAGUACUCAUAUCCUCCAUUUAAACAAAGCAAUAUAGCGGUCCAAAAAUACGUCAUUAUGUGCACGUGCAAAUCUGUUUCUUUAUCUUUAUUUUUUUAUAUAAUUAUCAGCAAAAUCUCUUUUAAGCAUCAAAAGUGAAAACACUCAUUCAGUAGAAAAUGAUGACCAAACAUGAUUGAUGGUGUUUUUAUUUGUGUGUGAUUUUUAUGUCUAAGAUCCUUGUUUAUUCUUGUAAAUGAGCUCUAGCCUGCACGAUUUCCAAAGCGGUCAUAUAUCAAGUACAGAAAUGACCUCGUGACUUUGCACUGCUGUACCUACUCCAACCAGUCCUUUAUGGACACUUAAAAUAUCUUUAUGAAACUGUUGUUACAUUUGUUGCAAUCUUUGCUGCCCUCUUGGCCUGAUCUCCAAAAAAGAAAAUUAUAAUGAGACUUUUUACCGGGGUAAAUAAAGAAUAUAUAAAAGUCAUUUUUAUAUAUAACACCGAUUUCAGCUUGUACCUCGUGACAAAAAUGUUCUUUCAAUUUCAAAAUGAUUUGACAUCAGAUAUGAUUGACAGGUAAACAGGUUCUUCCUUUAUCCCAAGUGCCACUACUGAAGGUGUUACGGGUAUCAAGGAAAAAAACAUGGGUUGAAGCUUACAGAAAUUAAUAAAUUGUGAAACAGCUACAAAUAAUAAACAAAUAUAGAUUUUUUUUAAAAAGAUUUUUUUACAAAUAUAUCCUAAAAGUAUAUAAAAUGCCAAAAAGUGAUGCUAAAAGAUAAAGAUAAAUGACAGAAGCUUAAAACAGCAGAUAAAAUACUUAAGAUAUAAAGUUAAAAUAAUGGAUAAACUCUUGAAAUACAUAAAACAACCACCCCAGUAAAACCUGCCUAAUAUUGCAGAGGUUCUGUGCUGCAUUGGCAGCAGAUCUUUUGGUUCCUGUGGCUUUGAUGGCUGCCUCAGCGGAUCGGUUUUGUUCC